rnacentral:tRNA from 1 species
GGCCAGAUAGCCAAGUGGUAAGGCACGGGUCUGCAAAACCUGUAUUCGCGGGUUCGAUUCCCGCUCUGGCCUCCA